rnacentral:rRNA from 1 species
GACGGGGCCCCGCACAAGCAGCGGAGCGUGUGGUUUAAUUCGAUGUUACACGAAGAACCUUACCUGGGAUUGACAUGGAGGUGGUAGGGAAGCGAAAGCCGACCGACUCUUCGGGGAGCCUUCACAGGUGCUGCAUGGCUGUCGUCAGCUCGUGCCGUGAGGUGUCAGGUUAAGUCCCGUAACGAGCGCAACCCUUGCCCUUAGUUACAAGUGUCUAGGGGGACUGCCGGCGGGAAGCCGGAGGAAGGUGGGGAUGACGUCAAGUCAGCAUGGCCCUUAUAUCCAGGGCUACACACACGCUACAAUGGACGGUACAAAGGGCAGCGCAGCCGUGAGGUGGAGCGAAUCCCAGCAAAGCCGUCCUCAGUACGGAUAGCAGGCUGCAACCCGCCUGCUUGAAGCUGGAGUUGCUAGUAACCGCGCGUCAGCAUAGUGCGGUGAAUACGUUCCCGGGGCUU